rnacentral:lncRNA from 1 species
UUAUAUAAGUGUAUGGCAUAUAUUCCGGCUUUUCUAUCACCUGGUAUACGGUCCUUGUCAUUUCUCAUCAGAUCAAAUACCGUGUGGCCUCUUUUUCUGACCACUACACACUGCUUGUCCUUUAGGAGUUUGGUGAUGGUAUUAAUCACACUUCUAUCAUAUGUAAUUUUAACAUAUUUAGGCCAAGUCUGCCUUUGGUCAGUGGCGUCAGUAGAAUUCUUUCUUCGUGAUACGGACAGAGACCUUUUCCAUACUCCUUCAGUCGUUUUGUAGGAGUACCCAUACUUGCUUCCUAUUUUAUGAAUAAACUGCCGCUCCCUCUCUUUGUCUAACCACUUGGUGAUAUGUGUGAACGCUCUAGAGAACAUAGCCCAAAACGCUGCAAGUUUGUAUGAUAUGGGGUCCAAGGACCAUGCGGGAAUCAGCACUGGAACAUACGUAGGUUUUCUGUAAACCUUUGUGAUGUACUCUCCCAUCUCCACAUCCAGGAAGUGAAAGUCGUGAUGUGUACAUUGUUCCACCCUGGU